CUAAAAGACCAUCCCAGUUCGGAUUGCAGGCUGCAACCCGCCUGUAUGAAGUUGGAAUCGCUAGUAAUCGCGGAUCAGCAUGCCGCGGUGAAUACGUUCCCGGGCCUUGUACACACCGCCCGUCACACCAUGAGAGUCGGGAACACCCGAAGUCCGUAGCCUAACCGCAAGGGGGGCGCGGCCGAAGGUGGGUUCGAUAAUUGGGGUGAAGUCGUAACAAGGUACC
rnacentral:rRNA from 1 species